rnacentral:rRNA from 1 species
UGAUCAUGGCUCAGGAUGAACGCUAGCUACAGGCUUAACACAUGCAAGUCGAGGGGCAGCAUGGUCUUAGCUUGCUAAGGCCGAUGGCGACCGGCGCACGGGUGAGUAACACGUAUCCAACCUGCCGUCUACUCUUGGACAGCCUUCUGAAAGGAAGGAUUUAAUACAAGAUGGCAUCAUGAGUUCGCAUGUUCACAUGAUUAAAGGUAUUCCGGUAGACGAUGGGGA